UUUUGUGGGGUGCUCGAGUGGCGAACGGGUGAGUAACACGUGAGUAACCUGCCCUUGACUUUGGGAUAACUUCAGGAAACUGGGGCUAAUACCGGAUAGGAGCUCCUGCUGCAUGGUGGGGGUUGGAAAGUUUCGGCGGUUGGGACGGACUCGCGGCUUAUCAGCUUGUUGGUGGGGUAGUGGCUUACCAAGGCUUUGACGGGUAGCCGGCCUGAGAGGGUGACCGGCCACAUUGGGACUGAGAUACGGCCCAG
rnacentral:rRNA from 1 species